rnacentral:tRNA from 1 species
GCCUGUUUAGCUCAGUUGGUAGAGCAGCUGAUUUGUAAUCAGCAGGCCGGGGGUUCAAAUCCGUCAACAGGCUCCA